CCAUUGGAUCAUGAGGAUCAAAUUGAUCAUAUCAUUGCUGGUCUUCCUGAGGAAUAUAAGCCGGUUCUUGACCAGAUUGAAAGCCGCGAAACUCCGCCAUCAAUGACAGAAGUCCAUGAGCGCCUCCUUAAUCAUGAAC
rfam:Arabis alpina cultivar Pajares chromosome 3, whole genome shotgun sequence.